UACGGAGGGUGCAAGCGUUAUCCGGAUUUACUGGGUUUAAAGGGUGUGUAGGCGGACUUUUAAGUCAGCGGUGAAAUCUCCGGGCUCAACCCGGAAACUGCCAUUGAUACUAUUGGUCUUGAAUAUUGUGGAGGUGGGCGGAACGGAUCAUGUAGCGGUGAAAUGCUUAGAGAUGACCCGGAACACCGAUUGCGAAGGCAGCCCACUACGCAAUGAUUGACGCUGAGGCACGAAAGCGUGGGGAUCAAACAGG
rnacentral:rRNA from 1 species